rnacentral:rRNA from 1 species
CCCGCUCAAGAAACUUACAUGAAUUGACGGGGACCCGCACAAGCGGUGGAUUAUGUGGAUUAAUUCGAUGCAACGCGAAAAACCUUACCUACCCUUGACAUGUCCUGAAGCCUGGAGAGAUCCGGGUGUGCCCGAAAGGGAACGGGAACACAGGUGCUGCAUGGCUGUCGUCAGCUCGUGUCGUGAGAUGUUCGGUUAAGUCCGCUAACGAGCGCAACCCUCGCUGUAUGUUACAUGUGUCAUACAGGACCGCCGGUAUCAAGCCGGAGGAAGGUGGGGAUGACGUCAAGUCCGCAUGGCCUUUAUGUCCGGGGCUACACACACGCUACAAUGGUCGGUACAAUGGGUUGCUAAGCCGCGAGGUGGAGCCAAUCCCCCAAAGCCGGCCUCAGUUCAGAUUGCAGGCUGCAACUCGCCUGCAUGAAGCUGGAGUUGCUAGUAAACGCGCGUCAGCUAUAGUGCGUUGAAUACGUUCUCGGGCCUU